rnacentral:rRNA from 1 species
AGAGUUUGAUCAUGGCUCAGAACGUACGCUGGCGGCACGCCUUAUACAUGCAAGUCGAACGCAGUAGCAAUACUGAGUGGCAGACGGGUGAGUAUAAUGUGGGAAUCUGCCUUUUGGUUUGGAAUAACUCGGGGAAACUUGAGCUAAUACCGGAUAAGCCCUUACGGGGAAAGCUUUAUGCGCCGAAAGAUGAGCCCGCACUUGAUUAGCUCGUUGGUGAGGUAAUGGCUCACCAAGGCAACAAUCAAUAGCUGUUCUUAGAGGAAGACCAGCCACAUUGGGACUGAGACACGGCCCAGACUCCUACGGGAGGCAGCAGUAAGGAAUCUUGCACAAUGGGGGAAACCCUGAUGCAGCGAUGCCGCGUGAGUGAAGAAGGCCUUUGGGUUGUAAAACUCUUUCGUUGGGGAAGAAAAUGACUGUACCCAAAUAAGAAGGUCCGGCUAACUUCGUGCCAGCAGCCGCGGUAAUACGAAGGGACCUAGCGUAGUUCGGAAUUACUGGGCUUAAAGAGCUCGUAGGUGGUUAAAAAAGUUGAUGGUGAAAUCCCAAGGCUCAACCUUGGAACUGCCAUCAAAACUUUUUAGCUAGAGUGUGAUAGAGGAAAGUGGAAUUUCUAGUGUAGAGGUGAAAUUCGUAGAUAUUAGAAAGAACACCAAAAGCGAAGGCAACUUUCUGGAUCAUUACUGACACUGAGGAGCGAAAGCAUGGGUAGCGAAGAGGAUUAGAUACCCUCGUAGUCCAUGCUGUAAACGAUGUGUGCUAGACGUUGGAAAUUUAUUUUUCAGUGUCGCAGCAAAAGCGUUAAGCACACCGCCUGGGGAGUACGACCGCAAGGUUAAAAC